rnacentral:rRNA from 1 species
UACGGAGGGUGCAAGCGUUAUCCGGAUUCACUGGGUUUAAAGGGUGCGUAGGCGGACAGGUAAGUCAGUGGUGAAAUCUCCGAGCUUAACUCGGAAACUGCCUUUGAUACUCUCUGUCUUGAAUAUGGUGGAGGUAAGCGGAAUAUGUCAUGUAGCGGUGAAAUGCUUAGAGAUGACAUAGAACACCUAUUGCGAAGGCAGCUUACUACGCCUAUAUUGACGCUGAGGCACGAAAGCGUGGGGAUCGAACAGG